UACAGAGGGUGCAAGCGUUGUUCGGAAUCAUUGGGCGUAAAGGGCGUGUAGGCGGUAUGUUAAGUCAUGUGUGAAAGCCCCCGGCUCAACCGGGCGGAUGCGGGUGAAACCGCGCGACUGGAGGGUGGGAGAGGUCGGCGGAAUUCCCGGUGUAGUGGUGAAAUGCGUAGAUAUCGGGAGGAACACCCGUAGCGAAGGCGGCCGACUGGACCACACCUGACGCUGAGGCGCGAAGGCCAGGGGAGCGAACGGG
rnacentral:rRNA from 1 species